AUAUGCCUCUUCCAUAUUAAGAACUGCUUCCAGCUCAACUUUAGCUAAGUUCUCUUGGCUCAUUAAACAAUCAGUGUAACCAUCAUCAUGAAUUUUUUGUUGGAUCUCAUUAAGCUUAUUUACAGCAUUUGAAACUUGAUUUUGUAUGUUACCAAAAUCAUUUUUGUUCCAAAUCUUUAGUUCAUCUUUCAAAAUCUUA
rnacentral:lncRNA from 1 species